rnacentral:rRNA from 1 species
AUUGAACGCUGGCGGCAGGCCUAACACAUGCAAGUCGAACGAGUGGCGGACGGGUGAGUAAUGUCUGGGAAACUGCCUGAUGGAGGGGGAUAACUACUGGAAACGGUCGCUAAUACCGCAUACCAUCAGAUGUGCCCAGAUGGGAUUAGCUAGUGGGUGGGGUAGCGGCUCACCAAGGCGACGAUCCCGAGCUGGUCUGAGAGGAUGACCGGGCACACUGGCACUGAGACACGGUCCAGAGGCCCACGGGAGGCAGCAGGGGGGAAUAGUGGACAAUGGGAGAAAGCCUGAUGGAGCCAUGCCGCGUGUAUGAAGAAGGCCUUCGGGUUGUAAAGUACUUUCAGCGGGGAGGCGUUACCCGCAGAAGAAGCACCGGCUAACUCCGUGCCAGCAGCCGCGGUAAUAC